NNNAUCCUCAGCGGUGGACUGGGCCCAAGUCCCCUGAAAAGGGGCACCGGAGAGGGUGAGAGCCCCGUUGUGCCUGGACCCUGUCGCACCACGAGGCGCUGUCCGUGAGUCGGGUUGUUUGGGAAUACAGCCCAAAUCGGGUGGUAAAUUCCAUCCAAGGCUAAAUACGAGUCGGAGACUGAUAGCGAACAAGUACCUCGACGAAAAGAUGAAAAAGACUUUGAAAAGACAAUCAAAGAGUGCUUGAAAUUGUCAGGAGGGAAGCGGAUGGGGGAUGGUGAUGCGCCCCGGUCGGAUGUGGAACGGUGAGAGCCAGACCGCCGAUCAGCUCAGGGCAUGGACCGACACAGGUCGCAAUGGCGGCCCAAGCCCAAGCUUUCAAUGUGCCCGUGGAGACAUCGUCACAGUGAUCAUGGAACGCAACACGCAUCGUCUCGACGUGCCCCGACACCAGCGUGCUCCAGGCGUCGGCCUACGGGCUCCUCAUUCGACCCAUCUUAAAACACGAGCCAAGGAGUCUGACAUGUGUGUGAGUCAAUAGGCCAAAAAACUUGUAAGGCGUAAGGAAGCUGAUUGACAGGAUCCCUCACGGGUGCACCGUCGACCGACCUUGAUCUUUUGAGAAGGGUUCAAGUGCGAGCAUGCCCAUCGGGACCCGAAAGAUGGUGAACUAUACCUGAGCAGAGCGAAGCCAGAGGAAACUCUGGUAGAGGCCCGCAGUGAUACUGACGUGCAAAUCGUUCAUCUGACUUGGGUAUAAGGGCGAAAGACUAAUGAACCGUCUAGUAGCUGGUUCUCUUCAAAGUUUCCCUCAGGAUAGCUGAAACCCUCAUCGAGUUCUAUCGGGUAAAGCCAACGAUUAGAGGCAUCGGGGGCGCAACGCUCUUGACCUAUUCUCAAACUUUAAAUAGGUAAGAUGGCACGGUUGCUCUGUUGAGCUGCACCAAGGAAUCGAGAGCUCCAAGUGGGCCAUUUUUGGUAAACAAAACUGGCGAUGUGGGAUGAAUCGAAAGCCAGGUUACGGUGCCCAACUGCACGCUAACCCAAAACCCACAAAGGGUGUUGGUGGAUUAAGACAGCAAGAUGGUGGUCAUAGAAGUCGAAAUUCGCUAAGGAGUGUGUAACAACUCACCUAUCAAAUCAACUAGCCCCAAAAAUGGAUGGCGCUUAAGCGCGCAACCUAUACCCGACCGUUGGGGCAAGGGCUAGGCCCCGAUGAGUAGGAGGGCACGACGAUCAUCAUAAAACCCGAGGUGAAAGCCUGGGCGAAGCGGUCGUUGGUGUAGAUCUUAGUGGUAGUAGCAAAUAUUCAAAUGAGAACUUUAAAGGUCGAAGAGGGGAAAGGUUCCAUGUGAACAGCACUUGCACAUGGGUUAGUCGAUCCUAAGAGACGGGGGAAGCCCAUCACACAGCGCGUCCCACACGAGCUUCGAAAGGGAAUCAGGUUAAAAUUCCUUAACCGGGAUGCAAUGACUGAUGGUAACGUUAGGGAGUCAGGAGACAUCGGCGAGGGCCUCAAGAAGAGUUAUUUUUUUUGUUUAACGGCCCACCCACCCUGGAAACGGCUCAGUCGGAGUUAUGGUCCAGCAGUCGGAAGAGACUGCACAUCGCGUGGUGUCCAAUGCACUCCCGGUGGCCCUUGAAAAUCGAGAGGACCGAGUGCCGUCCGUGCCCGAUCGUACUUAUAACCACAUCAGGUCUCCAAGAUGAACAUCCUCUAGUCGAUGGAACAAUGUAGGCAAGGGAAGUUGGUAAAAUGGAUCCGUAACCUCGAGAAAAGGAUUGGCUCUGAGGGCUGGGCAAGGGGGUCCUAGUCCCGAACCCAUCAGCUGUCGGUGCACUGCUUGAGCUGCUUCCGUGGUGAGAGUGGGUCACCGCGUGCUGGUCGGGGAACGGACUGGGAAUGGCUCCCUCGGGGGCCUUCCCUGGGUGACGAAUAGUCAACUCAGAACUGGUAGGGACAAGGGGAAUCUGACUAUUUAAUUAAAACAAAGCAUUACGAUGGUCCCUACGGAUGCUCAGCAAUGUGAUUUCUACCCAGUGCUUGAAUGUCAAAGUGAAGAAAUUCAACCAAGUGCGAGUAAACGACGGGAGUAACUAUGACUCUCUUAAGGUAGCCAAAUGCCUUGUCAUCUAAUUAGUGACGCGCAUGAAUGGAUUAACGAGAUUCCCACUGUCCCUAUCUACUAUCCAAUGAAACCACAGCCAAAGGAAUGGGCUUGGCAGAAUCAGCAGGGAAAGAAGACCCUGUUAAGCUUAACUCUAGUCCAACUUUGUGAAAUGACUUGAAAGGUGUAGGAAAAGUGGGAGCCCUCGGGCAAAAUUGAAAUACCAUUACUUUUAACGUUAUUUUACUUAUUCUGUGAAUCGGAGGCGAGGCAUGACCCUUUCUUUUGGACCCAAGGCCAGCCUCGACCAGUCGAUCUGGGCGGAAGACAUUGUCAGGUGGGGAGUUUGGCUGGGGCGGCACAUCUAUUAAAAGAUAACGCAGGUGUCCUAAGAUGAGCUUAACGAGAACAGAAAUCUCAUGUGGAACAAAAGGGUAAAAGCUCGUUUGAUUCUGAUUUUCAAUACGAAUACGAAUCGUGAAAGCGUGGCCCUAUCGAUCCUUUAGGCUUCGGGAUUUGAAGCUAGAGGUGUCAGAAAAGUUACAAGGGAUAACUGGCUUGUGGCUGCCAAGCGUUCAUUAGCGACAUUGCUUUUGAUCCUUCGAUGUCAGCUUUUCCUAUCAUUGUGGAAGCAGAAUUCACCAAGUGUUGGAUUGUUCACCCACCAUAGGGAAACAUGAGCUGGGUUUUAGACCAUCGUCGAGACAGGUUAGUUUUAACCCUACUGAUGGCGGCAUCGCAAUAGUAAUUCAACCUAGUACGAGAGGAACAGUUGAUUCGCAUAAUUGGUCAUUGGGCUUGGUUGAAAAGCCAGUGGCGCGAAGCUACCAUGUGCUGGAUUAUGACUGAACGCCUCUAAGUCAGAAUCCAGGCUAGAAGCGACGUGCGCGCCCGCCGCCCGAUUGCUGACCCACAGUAGGGGCCCAUCGCCCCUAAGGGCAUGUGAAGUAGGUGCAGCCCCCACGGUGAAUGAGCCCGUGGGCUUCCUUGGAGCUCAACUCCCACCGAACGGUGGGUAGAAUCCUUUACAGAUGACUUAAAUACGUGACGGGGUAUUGUAAGUGGUAGAGUUGCCUUGCUGCCACAAUCCGUAGAGAUUCAGUCCUUUUGUCACUUCAAUUUGUCCCUCUCCC
rnacentral:rRNA from 1 species